rnacentral:rRNA from 1 species
CAGCAGCCGCGGUAAUACAGAGGGUGCGAGCGUUAAUCGGAUUUACUGGGCGUAAAGCGUGCGUAGGCGGCUUUUUAAGUCGGAUGUGAAAUCCCUGAGCUUAACUUAGGAAUUGCAUUCGAUACUGGGAAGCUAGAGUAUGGGAGAGGAUGGUAGAAUUCCAGGUGUAGCGGUGAAAUGCGUAGAGAUCUGGAGGAAUACCGAUGGCGAAGGCAGCCAUCUGGCCUAAUACUGACGCUGAGGUACGAAAGCAUGGGGAGCAAACAGGAUUAGAUACCCCAGUAGUCCAUGUCUCUUAUAA